AUUGAACGCUGGCGGCAGGCCUAACACAUGCAAGUCGAACGAGUGGCGGACGGGUGAGUAAUGUCUGGGAAACUGCCUGAUGGAGGGGGAUAACUACUGGAAACGGUAGCUAAUACCGCAUACCAUCGGAUGUGCCCAGAUGGGAUUAGCGAGUAGGUGGGGUAAAGGCUCACCUAGGCGACGAUCCCUCGCUGGUCGGAGAGGAGGACCAGCAACACUGGGACUGGAACACGGUCCAGACUCCUACGGGAUGCAGCAGUGGGGAAUAUUGCACAAUGGGCGCAAGCCUGAUGCAGCCAUGCCGCGUGUAUGAAGAAGGCCUUCGGGUUGUAAAGUACUUUCAGCGGGGAGGCGGUACCCGCAGAAGAAGCACCGGCUAACUCCGUGCCAGCAGCCGCGGUAAUUC
rnacentral:rRNA from 1 species